UGGAAGUUGAGCAGCCAUCAUGCUCCACCGAGGAAGUGAGGGUGAAUGGAGCCAAGAGAUGUGGAGGGAGAAACUGGUUCCAGGAAACACCCUCUAUUCCCUAUCGCUUCAUGCUGCGAGUAACAGGGGUUAUUCAAAAGCACACUGGAGAAAGCAGGAAGAGCGCCACCUGCAGCUUGGGUAGGCUCCAUUUCGAGGAUGGAAUCAAUCCACUGUGGCUCCGAGGCCUGCCGCCUGCUUGCGACAGUUAAAUGCCUUCGGUUUUUGAGUUAUUUAAAGAACAUACCCUUUUAUGGGCAGGAGGAAGCACUUUAAUCUGCAAAAUGAUUUUUAUCACAAACUAAACAUCCUUGUAACUUUUUGGUCCUCUGCUUUGGUCGAAGUUGUCUCUCCUUGGAGCUCAGACAGCUGUUGGAGCUCAGAAGAUCUGCCUCCACCCUGCACUUUGCCCUGCUCGCUGGUACUGUGGUGCUCUCCAAUUCCUGGAUCCAUGUGGGAUGUAAGAACUCAGGAUCAGGACGCCUGCACGCAUCAAAAUGGGGCAUUUUCUUUCUCUUUAUCCCAGGACUUGAGAGAAAGCAAAAAACAAACACGAACAAAAAAAAAAAAACAAGAAUUCCUCUAAUUUAAGGUUUUUAACCUUGACACUUGAAGUUUUGGGCCAAUUAUUUGUCAUCAGGACUGCUUUGUGCAAUGUAGGAUAUUCCUGGCCUCUACCCACUAGAUGACCCAUUAGCACCCCUCAUUUGGGACAACCAAAAAUGUCCGUGGACAUUGACAAAUAACCAGGGAUGGGGGCCAAGAUCCCCCCUCAUUCCCCAGCUCCCCAUUUCCUGGUUAAAAACCACUGCUGACAGCAUCUUUAAAAACAUAAUUCCUUGUAGUAUUAUGUUGUGAGAUUGAGAGAACCACCACCCUCCUUAGAACUUUACAAAAGCCAUAUAAAAUAUCCCCUGAGGAGAACUGACUUAAACUUCAAGAUAGCAGCCUGCGCAACAUAGUGAAAUCCCAUCUCUACGGAAAAAAAAAAAACACAAAAAGUAGCCAGGCACGGUGGCACGAACCUGUAGUACCAACUAUCCGGAAGGCUGAGGUGGGAGGAUUCCUUGAGCCUCGGAGGUCAAGGCUGCAGUGAGCCCUGAUGGUGCCACUGCACUCCAGCUUGGCCGACAGAACGAGACCUUGACUCCAAAAUAGCAAUACUACUGUCUAUCAGGGCUAUGAAGCCACAUAAGACUUGACCCAUUAAGGACAAGAGUGAAGAAAAAUGUAUCAAAUAGAAAUAAUUUUAUCUAAACACUGGCAAGAGGAAAAAGACAUGGAGGAGAAACUUAGAAAUGAAAAGCAGCGAGGCAUCUAUAUGUUUUUCCGAGGCAAAAUUUACAUACCAUCAAGGUCAUCCAUGCAAAUGUUCUAGAGUUGAAAAGAAAGCUCUUUCUACAUCUGCAAGGCUGAUUCAUUUUUCUCCCUUCCAAGAACUCUACUAAAAAAAUUAUUUGUUGCUUAUCUGAAAUGCAAAUGUAACUGGAUGUCCUGUAUUUGUGAAAUUCCGGCAACCCUAAUCCAGGACCAAAGCAGAAUUAACCAAAUAAAUGAAAGUGCAUGUCUAGAAAUAAAUGUACUUU
rnacentral:lncRNA from 1 species